GGGCCCGCACAAGCGGUGGAGCAUGUGGUUUAAUUCGAUGAUACGCGAGGAACCUUACCAGGGCUUAAAUGUAGUGGGACAGGUCUAGAGAUAGACCCUUCUUCGGACUCAUUACAAGGUGCUGCAUGGUUGUCGUCAGCUCGUGCCGUGAGGUGUCAGGUUAAGUCCUAUAACGAGCGCAACCCCUAUCGUUAGUUGCCAGCGGGUAAUGCCGGGAACUCUAGCGAAACUGCCGGUGCAAACUGUGAGGAAGGUGGGGAUGACGUCAAAUCAUCACGGCCCUUACGUCCUGGGCUACACACGUGCUACAAUGGCCGGUACAGAGAGCAGCCACUUCGCAAGAAGGAGCGAAUCUAUUAAAACCGGUCUCAGUUCGGAUUGUAGGCUGCAACUCGCCUACAUAAAGAUGGAAUC
rnacentral:rRNA from 1 species